AAGUAUGCCUACCAAGGAAUGUUCAAGAACGAAUUUGAAGGACUAACAUUUCCUAGCAAUCAAGCCGGAGGGCCACCGACGAUUUCCGGCGAACAAAUUCUGAGAGAUCGAUGGCAAGUGGAGAUGGGUGUCUCCAAGUGGGUUGAUCUUGCCAUUUUGCUUGGAAUGGUGGUUCUAUACAGAAUUUUGUUCUUGGUUAUUAUCAAGACCACGGAGAAGAUAAAACCUAUUAUUACAGCUAUUGUAUCGGUACCUCCCAAGCAAACAACAGAAAUCAUGGAAAUCCCCUUAACUACAUCUUUGCAUGGGGAUCAAUCUGUAGUCUAGGAGGAUCAAAUCGCUUCUGUUCGCGAGAAUUGAAGAGUAAAUUUACUCUGCUUGCUACACAGUACUUAAGCACCUUUUCCUAUAUUAAUGUCUUGCUAAUAAAAUUCUGUUGCAAGCUCUCAAUUUGUUCUCUAAUAUUAGGUUUACAAGUUUGCAGACGAGACCAAUAUGGGAGAUCAAAGGCUAGCUUCUUUCAAGAAGCUAUGCUUGGAGCUUUUAAUCCAACCUCUUAAAGACAAUGUAGAGGUUUAGUGUACUGUUAAGGUCUUGACUGAUUGCAUUUCUUAAUAUAUAAUUAACAAAUAUAUAUAUAAAAGACAGAAAAUUUAAAUUGUUGUUAAGGUCUCGAUUGAUUGUGUAUGAUAAUUAUUAUUUGAUAUUAUUAUUAAAAUUAAUCUAGUAUGUUAAUUUUAAAAUUUCUUAAUCCAAAUUUUUAUAUAAUUUAAAUUUAAAAUUAAAUGCAUAUAAAAAUUAUUGAAUAUAAAACUUAAAUCUCUCACAAAAUAUGAAAAUGAUAGAUUGCAAUAUACAUGUACACAGGAGAAAGCAUUGGAGAAAGAGAAUGGCGAAGUCAUACAAAACAUAUUUGGGGAGGGGCCCGCUAAAAAUCUCCAUCAAAGAGUAGUCAUUGCCAAGUUAUUCCCAUCAACUCCUUUUCGUGCGAAUGGUACAAAUUGGUAGGAAUUGAUCGUAAGCUGGUAGAGUUUGAUACAAGUCGUAUUUGAAGUCUCGUACAAAAAUAUAAAUUUUAAAACUUGACUUGUAACAAGACCUCUAAGGUUUACCCAAAAAAUUACUUUUAAAAAAAAUAUUAUAUUUAAAUAAAAAAAUUUAACUUGUGAAUAGUUAGAUUUUGUUCAUAUCACUAGGUGGAUUUAAGUUUUUGACCAAAUUAAUUGAGUUUUUUUUUUUUAACAUGAACUGGUCUAAGCUUUAUAUUAAGUCAGUUUAGGUUUUCAAACAAUACAUCAAAGGGUUAUGAGUUUUAAUCUCAUUUGAUAAAAUUAAAAAUUAAACAUAAAAUAAUGAUGUGUUUGUGUAAAUUUUAAGUUUAAAAGAAUUUCACUUGAAAAUAUAUGUUAAAAAGUUUAAUAUAAAAUUUAAUAAUCAUCCAAUAACUUAAUUUUUUGGAUUAAUUUUUUUUUACAUAAAUUAGUCGAUAUAAUCUAAUAAAACUAAUAACAAAUAUAUUAAAAGGUGACCAUUUUAUUGUAGCCUCCCCUCAUAUUUUUCUAUUCUCCACUACAAUGUGGUAACCAUUUUAUUAUUCCCAUAAAAAAAAUAUCAUUGUAUCAAAAGUAUUUUUGUAAUUUCAUAUAAUUCAUAAAUCAUUACUAAUUUAUGUAGGGGUAUUUUUAUCCUUGUAUUUUGGACAAUAAAUCCCUACAUUAUUCAAUACGUUUAUAACUAGAAUUCUUUGUUAUACCGAAAAUCUAUAAAAUAUUUCUUCUAAAUACAUCAAGCUACAUAUAAAUAAUUUAUAAAAAAAUAGCCUUAUUGCACCAAAAUUAAUCUGAAAUACCUUAUCAAUUAUAAGCUUUGCGCGGGCACCACCAUAGUUUUGAAACCCGGACCGGCCCGGCGGGUCGACUCGAGACCCGGCCGACCUGGGCAUGGGACCGGUCCGGGUGAAGGCCAAAACCCGUUUGGAAAUUGGCCCAGCCAGACCCGGUCGACCCGGUCAACACCCGGCCCCAAACCCAUUGACUUUUGUUUUUUUUUUGCUAAAACGACGUCGUUUUGAUUUUUUUAAAAAAAAUUAAAAAAUAAAUUUUGACCCGGCCGACCCGGUCGAGACCCGGUGACCCGGUCAAAACCCGGAACCUAGGCCUUGGACCGGGCCGGGUCUUAAAACUAUGGGCACCACAAAUAAAUGUUCCAUUAGUCGAAUUUGUCUACAGCCUGCCCCUCGAAUGUAUGGCUAUGGAAGACUCAUAAUCCCAAGAAAUCAGGCCAAAUAGGUGGAAAAUCCUAGAUAUUUAUAAACGUGUGGCCACUACUUUAUGUAAGAGAAAAACAAAGAAAGGUUACACUAGCCAAACACAUCCUACCACAUCAAUUAUUAUUAUCAUUAUUUAUUUCACUGGAAAAAAAAAUUGUCGAUUGUGACAAAAACGUUGUGAUUAACUGAUGAUUUUUUUUUUCUAAUUUGAUGUUUGAUGGAUUUUAGUUUUUAUUUGGUUUUAUGCUGUUUUAAAAAUUAUGGCAUUAGACUUUAUUAAGCAAUUGAAAAUAAAAUAGUUGUUAAAUUCUAAAUUAAGGUGUUACAAGUUGAUAAGUUACUUUUUUAUGAAACAUGUUUGAGAUUAAUAAAUAAUUAUUUGCUGUAUGAAAUGAUGUUAAACCUUCAGGAAACGUAACAUUAAUAUAUAAUUAGUUAGCUUGAAAAUUUUGAAGAAAAAAAAAAGCAAGUCGUUGACAUGAAAAAUUUUACUGGAGGCAGUAUUAGGUGUCCAUGUAGAAAGUGUAAAAAUAAAAAGUAUUUGCAUCUAAAUGUUGUAAUGAUGCAUCUUUUACACAAAAGGUUCAUGGAUGAUUACUUAUGUUGGUAUGCACACGAAGAACUAUUUGUUCGUAAUGAGAGCAUGACAAAAAGGAUAGUUGGGUCAACUUUUAGUGCUAGCAACGUACAUGGAGUUGUAAAUGACAACAAUAAUCCUUACAAGAAUAUGGUUAUGGAUGCAAUGAAAAUAAAUGAAGGUAAUGCCAGUCAAUGUCUAAUUAUAAAAGAAGAACCUAAUGCAGACGCGAUCAGGUUUUUUGAUCUGUUAAAAGGUUUUGAUGAACCAUUAUGAGAUGGUUGAAUGAAUCAUAGUAAAUUAUCAACCAUUGCAUAGGUGUUCAUCAUCAAGUUGGAUUGUGGGUUGAGUGAGGCUAGUUAUGAUAGAAUUAUCAAAUGAGUGAGAAGUAUUUUACCUGAAGAGAACAGUCUGGAAUAAAACUUCUAUGCUGUUGAGUUCAUGAUGAAACCUCUCAGUUUAGGAUACCAGAAAAUUGACAUGUGCCCUAACUUCUGCAUGCUAUACUACUUUGAAAAUACUAAGCUGACCGAGUGCAUGACAUGUAGGCAUUCCUGUUACAAACCUAGAAUUAUCACGAGAAAGACUCUCGUGGCAUAUAAAAAACUUAGAUACUUGACAAUCACACCUAAACUACAAAGAUUAUUCAUGUCACCAAGGACUACUAAGCACAUAACAUGGCAUCAAUCACAUGAUGUGGUUGGUGGAGUGAUGAUGCAUCCUUCUAAUGGUGAAGUAUGGAAACACUUUAACAAUGUGCAUCCUUAUUUUUCAAUUAAAUCAAGGAAUGUGCGUCUUGGGUUGGGUACAUAUAUAUUUAACCAUUUGGGUCAUUUACUACUCCUUAUUCUUGUUGGCUAGUUAUACUCAUGGCUUACAACUUUCCACCAGGGAUAUGUAUGAGGUCGGAGUUCAUAUUUUUAUCCAUGGUGAUACCCGAUCCGAGCAAUCCAGGCUGGAAUAUAGAUAUUUGUCUCCAAUCGUUCAUUGAUGAGUUGACAAAGUUAUGGUCCUCCGGAGCUUUGACUUAUAAUAUAUCAAGAAAACUUAAUUUUCUUAUGAGGACGGCUUUCAUGUGGACUAUCAAUGAUUUUCCAGGUUAUGGAAUGGUUUGUGGUUGGAGCACGCAUAUCCAUACUGCAUAAAAAACAACAAGACAUUUACGCUAACAAACGAAGGUAAAGCUUUUUUUUUACUGCCACCUUCGUUUCUUGCCAACAAAUCAUGAGUACAAAAAGAUUAAAAAUGAUUUCUUUGUUAGUAGAGUUGAAAAUGAUGUUGCACCCUCACAUCUUUGUGGUGAAGAAUUGCAUGACAUUGUAUCAGAGUAUGGUGACAUUAUGUUUAGUUUCCAAUCUAGUAAGUAGAAGUUUCCUGGUUUUGGUUUGACCCAUAAUUGGGUAAAGUGAAGCAUUUUUAGGGAGCUUCCUUAUUGGAAGACCAAUCUUCUCCGCCAUAACCUUAACGUCAUGCACAUAGAAAACAAUCUAUUUAAGAACAUUUUUAACACCGUCAUGAAGGUGAAGAGGAAGACAAAAGAAAACAUCAAAGCUAGAAUGGAUAUAACAUUGUUUUGUAACCAUAAAAAUAUGAAGUUGGUUUUUAAUGGGUCACGGGUCACGAAACCCAGAGCAAGCUUAGUUUUAGAGAAAAAAAUACACAACAACUAGUCUACCAAUAGCUUAAGAGUCAGCGUUUUCCCGAUGGAAAUGCCUUAAACAUAUCAAGCUUGGUUAAUCUAGAAAAAUGCAGAUUGUAUGGAAUGAAGAGCCACGACUGUCAUGUGUUUAUGAAAACACUCAUUCCAUUAAGUUAUCAUGAUUUGUUGUCAAAGGGUAUAUAGGAUGCACUAACGGAGAUUAGUCAGUUCUUUUGAGAUAUAUGCUGCAACAAGUUGCAUACAAAUCACAUUGAGCAGCUUGAAAUGAAUAUCAUCGAGACAAUAUAGAAACUUGAGAUGAUAUUCCCUCCAUUAUUUUUUUUACUCGAUGGAGCAUCUACCCAUACAUUUACCAUAUGAGGUAAAAGUUGGAGGACCAGCUCAGUAUAGAUGCAAUGUAAUUCAUAAAGUAUUUUCAUUGUUUUUCUUAAUUGAAAAAUAUUUUUUUAAUUCCAUGUAGUUACUUGUUCAAUUUUUUAAAAAAGGUGAAGAACAAGACACAUGUUGAGGCUUCGAUAUGCGAGGUCUAUAUUGUUGAUGAGAUCAACAUGUAUCGUGUACUAUUCAAACCUCAUUUGAGAAUGAGAAUCAACCGCGUUCCACAACAUGAUGGUGGUGGUGAAGUGCCUUCCAGUGAAAACUUGUCAAUAUUCUUCAAUCUUGGAUCACCCACACCUAAAAAUGUUGUAAGGGGAAGAUAUUUGUCUUAAAUAGAGUUUAGACAAACACACAAUUAUGUUCGAUUGAACUGUGAUGAGCUGAGAUAUUUUAUUUAGUAAGUAUAUGUACUACUCAAACUUUGUUAAAAAUGUACUAUUUAUAUAUUAUAAUAUCAUCAAAUCAUAUAAUUUUGAAAACCCUGUAGGCAACAUGGACAAUAUUUACUGUCCAAUAAUUCACAGCUGACCGAAUUUCAAAUAUUUCGAUUACAAGAUGAACAAUUUGCCAUGUGGUUCAAAACACAUGUAAGUACUAUCACAAACUCAUUAUAUCUUGCAAGCUAUUGUAUUUCAUUCCAGAAUUCUCAUUUAUUGUUCAUUAUUGUACUUGAUACACAAGGUUUAUCAAAUAGGAAUGAGUGUUGCUAUUUCAUUGUCAUUACUGAGUUUGGGUCCUGAAAGAAAUGUUAAGUGCUACAACGAGUAUUUUAUCAAUAGAUAUGUGUUUCAUAAUGAAUAAAAUGGGCAUGGAAGAAAGACAUAUAACAACGGUGUUUCUGUUAAGGGAUCAACUUAUAGUGAUUUUGAAGUUGACUACUGUGAUAAAUUAGAAGAGGUAGUUGAAUUGCAAUAUCAUAGCGAGCAAAAUAUAGUGUUUUUAUUCAAAUGCUAUUGGUAUGACACCAUUGACAUAAGAAUCAGAGUAGAUCAUCACUAUGGUCUAGUGAAAAUCAACUCAAAAGCUAGACUCCACAACGUAAAUGAUGUUUUUUUUCCCAAAGCAAUGACAACAAAUUUAUUACACACACACCCCUUCCUUUAGAAAGGACCGAUUAAGAGUUGAUUGGUUAUCUGUUUUAAAAACAAAACACAAGGGUCGUGUCGAGGUUGUUUAGGAUAAGAACAAAGACAUAGGUGUUCGAGAUGAAAUCUUUCAAGUUAGUGAGCUGGUUGAACCAUAUCGAGUUACUCAUUCGAUUGACUUAGAAGAAAAUUCAAUUUUUUAGGUGUUCGAUGAUAGUCUUGUUGAUGUUGACGCAAAUGAGUUGAAUGUUGUUCUAAGCUCUAACAGACAAGGACAUGUCGAUAAAGAUGAUGAUGAUGAUAUCCAUAUUGAAGAUUGUGAUGGAGCUGAUGACGAUUCAAUUGACGAAGAAAAAGAAGAAGAAAAUUCUAACUAAAUAUCAAAACAUGAAAAGUAUAAAGAAUUUUUUAUAAUGUACUAUUAUGGAUGAAAUUUUGUACCAUGAAAUAUUUAUUUUUAUAAUUAUUCACUGUUGUUGUUGUGUUGUGUGGGCAAUUUGCAAUUUAAGUGUUUGAAUGGAGGAUAAAUAGGCAAUACAAAUAUAACCUAUCAUGCACUGUGUACAUCACUGACGGAUCUACAGAAAGAAUGAGUCUGUCAGUAUUUCAUAGAGAGUUGCAAAAUAUUUACUCAAUAUGCCACAAUCACCGAUAUUUCUAUAGAUAGAAUGGGUCUGUUGGUAUUUCAUAGAGAGUUGUAAAAUAUUUAUUGAAUAUGUCACAAUUGCCGAUGUCCCUACAAACGAAAUGAGUCUAUCGAUAUUUGUUAGAGGAUAGGAACUGUUAACCUCCUAUGUUGGUGCAAUCCAUAAUUAUCGACGAACUUAUUAAAGGAAUAUGAAUUAUAAAGCGUGGGUAAUUAAUGCAUCUCUUACCGCGUGUGCUUACCGACGGACUGUGAAAAUUCUUGAGGGUUAUUUAAAAUUUUUGUGCGAAAUUCAAAAUUUUAAAAUAAAUUCACUGACGGAAUAAUUAAAAAUAACUCCCACCGAGAGCCCCUUCGGUUCAUUUUUUUGCUCUUAUUUGUUUUAUCCAUUUUCUUCCUCUCUUUCUUUCAAAACAUCUCUUGUUUUUUUCUUGUAAUCUCUAGCUAUAAUUCUAUAUUCAUCUUCAACAAAUUAAAGGGUAUGUAUUGUUAUUCAAUAUACUUAAUGAUUUUUUUCAUCUUUUAUUUGUUUUAUUAACAAUAUACUUUUGUUUUGUUUUUUGGUUUUUUGUAUUGUACGUGGAUAAAGUCUAGAAAUAAACACACUACUAAGUAAGCACUUUUCAUUUCUAAAGUCUAUAGUUUUUUUUUAUUUGUUGUCUAUUUUAUUGUUUGUAUUGCCAUAAUAAUUGAAUAUUUGUUCAAUUUUAAUUGCUAUUGUUGAAUUUGUCUUGUAAAUGUUAAUUGAAUAUAUAGGAUUAAAUUUAAUUAUUUUAUCUCAAUUUUACUAUAUUCUUGUGUAAUAGAGUGUUUGAUUGUUUCCAUGAAUUGUAAUUGUUAUUGAUGAAUUUAUAUAGAUGUUAGUGGAAUAUAUGGAAUUAAAUUUAUUUAUUUUUCUUUAUUUUAUUGUUAAAUUUGUAUAGAUGUUAGGUCUAAGAUUAUUUUUUUUUUGUUAGAAACAUUUUAUUAUCAUUUUGAAAAUGAUAUGAAAUUGAAAAAUAUGAAAUUUCUGGUAUAAAUAAAAUAAAAUCAACUAGUUUGUGGCUUAUAUAUUGUCAAUAUUUGUAGGUUUGAAAAAUUUAGGUAGUCUUAAGUAUAGAGAAGGUGCUACCAAUUUUUUUAAAAUAAUUGAAUUUGAUUAUGUAAUUAUUCGUUCAAUUUGUAUAGAUGCGUAGAAUGAAAUCAACAACACGUCGUGAGCAUAUGGUUGCAACUAGUUCUUCUAGUAGUAAGGAUGACUUGUCUUUAGGUGCCAAUCAAAAAAAGGCACCUGCGCCGAUUUGCAAUGCUGCUCUUCCAGCGUGGUUCCAUAGCGAGCGGUGAUGUGCCUUCACAACGGGGUCAAUUCACCCGCAAGUACGAGGGACAUUGGAAGGAUAACUUUUCAAUGUAAGCUUGUUGUGGCUUUAGUUCUUUUUUUUUUUUAACUUAUAACAUAAUUAUUGAAAAAAUAAUUAAUAUUUUAUUUAUUUUCAAGUUCACAAACAUUGAGGCCAUCCGAGUAAUAACAUGGCGUUUAAAUUGUCGAUGGAGAUUCUAUUAUUUCAAUGUAGUGAGGUUUCCAGACAUCCUGAUUGGAGACCUUAUAUCAAUGCAUGGUUUCAAAGAUUUGAGGUUGAUGUUAACUUCUAAUUUUAUUAAUUUUUAAUAAAUAAUAAUUUUUAUUUUAAAUAAAUUAUUUAUAUACAGAAUAAAUUUGAGUAGGAUAGCAUGCAUGAUAAUGUUGCGAGGAGGGUGUAGGAGAAUCACGCGGCAACUAGGUAACAUCGAAAAUAAUACGAUAUUUUUUUAAAAAAAAUUAUGUUUUCAAAUCUUAUUUUUCAUUAACUCAUAUAAAAUUCAUUGAUGGAAGUUGGUUGCAGGAUUUUUGAUAUGAAACGCAGAAAAAGCUAAAAAAUACGCUAGAGAUAGCGGUCUACAAGGCUAGAAUGACAUGGCAGUUUGGAGAAAUUUCAGGCUGCCAUACAUCUUGAAGGAUAUAUGGCCGCAAUAUAUCCUGCACAUGACGUCUAAGCAGUUUACACAAUGCUCAUAGUUUGGUGCCAAUAACCGGAACCAAAAAAUUCAUGGUUCGAUGACCACGCACACCGGCGACUCCGUUUCAUUCACUACACUUGCGAAAUGGGUGGUAAGUUUAAUUUUAAUGAAAUAUAUCGUUAAUUAAUUUAUUGUUCUUUAUAAAUAUAUUUAACUUGCAACAUUUUUUUUUCUUACAUGCUAUGUCUCUUGGACGUGAGCCGAGCCUAAUGGAGUUGUUUGCAGAAACGCAUAUGCGGAGUGAAGACUGUCAAAGGGGGGUGCAAUAGUUUAGCCAACAACUCUCGGUGGAUUAUGAAUAUGAUAUUUUCUUGAAUUGAAUAUGAUGAUUUCUUUUUAAUUUUCAAGAGACAUAUAAUAGCCGGUUGAGGGAGAGAUACAAAGACAAUCCUUCGACCUACCCAAAAUUCAAUAUGGAUUUAUGGAUGGAGGCAAAAUCAUUUGGUGAAACCCGAUAAAAAUUAAGUGUACGGGCUCUCCAACACUACGACCGAUAACUUACGGGCAGCAUGUAGUGUCUGAAUUGUUAGCAGCUCCCAAUCAUUAUCGAGCACCCAGUCUAAGGAGAUUGGGGCCUUAAACAACAAUAUCAACAACUCUCGACGAAUUAUGAAUAUCUCCGCUAGCUUGUCAUGGACAUCAGAUCAUAGAUGGGUGGUACGUGUGCGUCCCUUUUUUUGCCGUAUGGUUUGGGAAAUGACCAGCCUCCUCCUCCUCCUCUAACUCUGCCAUUGUUCUAGUUCAAUGUUUUUUUUGGAAACACUUUAAAAUUGAAAUGAAUAUUUGGAUGAAUAUUAUUUAACUUUAUUUUUUAUUUUUAAUGUUUUAUACAAUUUUAUUUGCUUGAUUGGUUUUUUUAUUAUUAUUCUAUACAAUUUUAUAUUAUUUAUUCUACACAAUUUUAUUUUUAUUUUUAUUUUAAUUCUAAUUGAUGGAUUUACUGACGAAAUUCUUUCGUCGGUAUUUUACAAAGAGUUGGAAAACAUUUACUACAUAUGCCACAAUCAUCGGAUCAAACAAAAAUUAACACAAAAAUGUAAAUGUGCAAUUGUUUCUAAUGUGUUUUUUAACAUUAAAAACAAAUUAAUUGUAAAUCAAAAGACCAUUGUAUGCAUUUAAUUAAAUAAAUCAAGAAUUAUUUGUGUUAAAAAAAGUCAUUAAUGAUAACCAUAAAUUGAACUGGAAAGUUAAAAGAUUGAUGUAGAUAACAAUAAAAGCUUUCAUACAUAAAAUAUACACCACAAAAUCUUCCUAAUCUGGUCCCAUUCCAUCUCUUGAACAUUGGAAGACUUGUAAUCCCAAGAAGAUCAACCACAAAUAUGGAUAUGUUUGUUGGGUUUUCCAAUACACAUAUAUGUAGUGAAAAAUAUAAAUUUAAAAUCUUUUAGGUGUCCCAAGAUCCUAUUAGAUGGAUUAAGGGUUUUUUAUGGAUUAUACGAAGAUUACUUGAAGUUCAAAUGUUUGUUUUAGCUUUAACACAAGUCGUCCAAGUAUCCAACCUCUAAUACUAAUCUAUAUGAACCAUCAUUGAGAAAUCUUCUAAAUCUUUUUAGAAGAGGGUGAUUGUUAAGGAGAAAGAUAUUGUUAUAUUUUUUAGUGCUAGCUCUUUUCUUUUAUGUUUUUCAGAAGUUUUGUAUUAUAUUGUGCACUACAUGUUGUACUAAAACUAAUAAGUAUAACAUUUUAUUUAUAAUAGAACAUAAAUACCCUAUAAAUGAAGAAAAUAUCAAUUUUUUACCCGAAUAAUAUCACAUAUAUUAUUUCAAAAUAAUUUUAGAAAUUUACUUAAUCAAGUCUCUACUUGAAUUUUCUAAUUCUAGAAUUGUAAUUCCUUGUAUAAAUUACAUUCUAGACAUUAAUUUUUAAAACUUAUUUACAAUCAUUUCACUCUUGAUUAAUCAUCCCAGUUUAAUUUUUGACCAAUAAUUCUUAAUUAAGUGUGUGACCCAUUAAGUUCCCUAAUAAGUUGGUCCAAAUACAAAUCACAAUCCUAAAUAAAAUAGAAUUAAAUUAAUUAAUUUAUUAUCUAUUCAAUAAUUGAUUGAUUUAUAUUUGAAAAUCGAGUACAAUGUCUAGUAACCUGUUAAUUUCUCAGUAUAAUUAUUAUCCCUUCAUCAACAAUAUUCUAGUUUAGACAUUAUAGCAUGGAGUGUGUUUAUUUUUGUCAAAUCAAUUUUAUGCUCAAUACCAUAGUCAUUGAUUCUUUGAAUAAGAUUUCAUUUUUUUUUUCAAAUUUCAUUCCACCUUGCAAUUAAUACUAUUUGAGAACAUAUGAAAUAUUUUUUUCAAUUCAUCUGGGGUGAUGAAUCAUCUCGUGAUCACUCAAAUAACUUCAUAUAGUUCAUGUUAUACCCAAUAUCUGCUUGUUUGUUAUCCUUGGUUAGGAUAACGUAUAGUCAAGAUCAAAGCAUAACAUUUCCUAUAUAAGAUAACUUAGUGAUCUCAAGUCUAAUGAUCACUCACACAACCGUCAAGUGAGUCUUUCCAUAGACAUAAGUGAUCUUUAUAUAUAGAAUUCUUAUGCGAGUCAGUUCAAUGUACAUGUCAUCUAACAAAUAUCUAUAUGUUAGUUUUAGGUAUUUCUCAUACAUCAGCUUAUGGGAACAAUUAUUUACUUUUAUAAAGAAAAUAACAUAAUAUAUGUCAUAACCAAAAUUUUUGAUCAUUUUAUUUUAUUUACUGAAAAUGAUAAAAAAAAAUGAUGAUGAAAAAUAAGUAAAAUGAAAUAAAUGAAGAAUGAAUUAAAAUUUGGGUUAAUGGCAAAAUGAUUGGAAGUUUUGGGGUUUAAUUGAACUUUGGAAUUAAUCUAAUUAAGCUUGAAAUUAAUUUAAUUAAUCCAAUUAAAGGUUUAAUUGGAGAAUUGAUAAGUUUUGAGACUUAAUUAAGAUUGGAAGUAAUUUCAUUGAUCCAAUUAAGGGUUUAAUUGGAGAAUCAAUAAGUUUUGAGGCUUAAUUGGACUUGGAUUUAAUUAAAUUAAUUAAAACAUGGACUUAAUUGAAGAAAUAUUAAAGUUUGGGGUCACAAUUGCAAAAUUAAAAUCCAAGGGCUACAUUGAAAAUGGCGCGCAAAUGCAGGGGGCCAAUUACAGUUUAAAUCAGGGGCUUAAUUAUACAAUUGUCGAAACUUCACGGGUCAAAGUGAAAAUGGCCACUGUUAUCUCCAAAACGACGUCGUUUUGAAAGAGCACUGUUCAUCUUCUUCGUCUCUAACCCGGGACCGUUUCCAGCAGUUAUGGGCAGUAAUCAUCAGCUCACCUCAGUUAUGGACGUUUUAAUGUUGCAGUCCCUCUACAUGCCGUCAGUUACCACCGAUCAGACUCUAUAAAACAGAGGAACAACGAAGAAAUCAGGGGCGAAAAAAAGACCGCGGGGGAAAACAGAGGAAAAAACCCAGGCGGGACGAAAGAAAAACUCGGGGGGGGGGUGAAGCUAAAACCCAGACUCGAAAAAACCAGAAAACUGGGGGAGAACGGAAGAGAAAACACCCGAGGAGCAGAACUAAGAAACCCCUAAAAAAGGAGAUAAAAAUUGUACACACAACAAAACCCAGAAAACAGGCAAAGAACAGAGACGGAGAGUCACAGAACCAGAGCAAAAACAAAGCAACGAACCCGAGAAAGCUUGGGUCCAGCCAAUUCCCGGUUCCAGGAUCCUUAGCAUUGUAGUCUUCGUCCAGAGCAGGGGAGUUCGAAAGCAGGGACCAAAGUUUUUUUUCCUUCCUAAACACAACUCAAAGGGGAAAAAGGAAAACAGAGAAGGAAAGAAACCAUUUCGCGCCUGCAGACAAAGAAAAAUCCAAAGGAUAGUGGAGCUACACCGGGAAACAAAAGAAAAGAGCCACCGCGCCCAGUGGCGGAGCCAGAGAUUUUUAAUUGAGGGGGCAAAUUAUUAACAAAUACUAUAUUAUAUAGAGAUGUAUUAAAAAUCAAUUCAAAACAUAUAUAUUAAUUCAUAUCAAUUCAAAACAUAUAUAUUAAUUCAUAUAAAGUAAAAUUAAUACAAAAAUACUUUUAAAAUGAAAAAACUUAAAUUAUAAUUGUUCUCUUCGAGUUUUCAUAUUUUGAAACCGCUUCAUAAUAGCUUCAUUAUCAAUCUUAUCAAAGAUAUCUUUCUCAAUGUAUACAACCAAACUAUCAUUCAUCCACUUAUCUCCCAUCUUGUUCCGCAAUCUACUCUUGACAAUAUGCAUAGCAGAAAAAACUCUCUCCACUGUAGCAGUUGCAACUGGUAGAAGUAAUGACAAUUUGAUAAGCAUAUAUACCAAUGGAAAUAUCAAAUUCUUCUUUGUUUUUACCAUUUUCUCUGCAAGACUAGCAAUACCUUCAAUACCAGAGAACUCAUCAUCACCACGUAGAUCAAUAAUAUACGUAUCAAGUUGGUCACCAAGUACCAUAAGGUCCACUAUAGAGAAUUCACUAGGAUAAAAAAGAGCAAGACGAAUAAGCUUUUCUUUGUUGAAAGUAGAGAAAGAGUCAUUUGGGCUUAAACAUGCCACACAAAGAAGUAACUCCAUACUCGUCUCGGUAAAACGAUCAUCCAAUUCAGUAAGUUGUAUGUCAAUGAUAUUGUUAAACAAUUCAUAACGAAAAUGGUGUAAGUUUGUAAUCCCUUGAGAUUUUCGCCUUGAACGCCCACGAAGCUUGUACUCAUCAUCCAUGUUUAGAAUAUCAAUAUCAUGUUUGAUGCAAAAAGAUGACACUUCUUCCAGUAAAGAUUCCCAAUCAUUCUCUCUCAUCAAUUUGAAUCGUUCUUUGAUGUUUUCAAUAAACUCAUAGCAUUUUCUAUGUCUUGAUCUUUUCUUUGUAAUGCUUGUGAUAACUCAUUAGUAACUGCUAGUAUCCUUCUCAAACAAUGAAGCAUGAACACAAAAUUAAAUGAUUCCAUAAUACCUGUUAAAACAAUCGCUUCCGUUCUCUGUUCUGAGUUCAUCCCAUCCUCCCUUAUAAUCUCAAGCACAUCAAGAACUGAUGAAAACAUUGCAAGUAAACGAAUAAUUGUAAUAUAGUGGGAGCCCCAACGAGUAUCACCAUACCUUCUAAGAGAAGUUUCUUGAUUCAAGCCUCGUCCACUAGAAAUUUCCCCAUUUUCAAGUCCUUCAAUAAUUCUAGCAUAUUGUUUUUCUCUAAUCACCUCCAUCCUUUUACAUGAUGCUCCAACUAUGUUUAUAAUGCUAGAAAUAAAAUUGAAGACAUCUCCAACUUCAUUAUGCUUCUUUGUAACAGCCACAAGAGUCAAUUGAAGUCUAUGAGCAAAACAAUGUACAUAAUAUGCACUUGGAUUGUUAUUUAGAAUAAGUGCUUUCAAGCCAUUGAAUUCACCUCGCAUGUUACUAGCUCCAUCAUAUCCCUGACCACGCAAUCUUGAUAUACUUAACCCAUGUUUAGAAAACAAAGCUUCAAUAGCUGCCUUGAGUGAACUAGCAGUUGUAUCUGACACAUGUUGAAUGCCAAGAAAACGUUCAAUUAUAUGUCCAUUGUUGUCUACAUAUCGUAUAACAACUGCCAUUUGUUCCUUGAUUGAUAUGUCACGUGACUCAUCAAUUAAAAUUGAAAAUAAUGACUCACCUAGAUCUUUGAUAAUCACAUUUGUAAUCUCCUCUGCAGCAGCUUGAGUAAUGUCUUUUUGAAUAUCUGGAGAAGUCAAUUUGUUAUGUUUAGGAGCUUCACUGAAAGUAACUCUUUUAAUAGCUUCAUUUUUCUGGAAAGGAAAUGCAAGAGCUCUAGAUAAUUUCCUUGGUUGCUUGAACAUUCACAUUCAUCAUGGCCACGAAAUGGAAGUCCUUGGUGCAACAAAAAACGAGCACACUCUAUUGAAGCAUUCAAUCGAGUUCGAUAAUCACUUUGACUCUUUACUGUCUGCUCAGACAACAAAGAUCAUGAUACUUUGUUUUUCAUUCAUCAAAUUCUCACAUUUUAUCCGAGCUGCAUUGUGACUACUAUUAGACUUUCCAAUAUGAAGAUCAAAUCUUUCCCUUUUUUUCCAAUUUGAAAACCCAUCACCCACAAACGAAUCAACACCCCCUUUUGACUUGAAGAGGUAACAAUACAAGCAAAAGCAGCAUCUUUGGCUAUACUGUACUCUAACCAUGUUGGGUAUGCACCAAACCAAGCCGGAUUAAAGCGUCGUAGUGUUGAUAUAUUCCCAAAUUGUUUUUGAGGAAAAUCAUAGUGUGAAGGUUGACAAGGACCUUUUUGUAGAUAAGCUCUUCGGAUUGCAUCCCUAUCAUUUAUAUGGUACUCAUAAAUUGGUCUUCUUAAGCCAGGGUCAGCAAGAAGAGUGUCGGGGUUGAUUUCAAUAUGACUUUUCUUUGAACUUGAUUGAGUUACAUGACUUGAAGCUUUGAUUGACUCCUCAUCCUCAAGGGAUUUACGCUUGAAAUACUUGUCCAGUGACAUGUUAAUUUAAUAUGAACCUGCUGGAUUUUUUAUCAUCAUUAGUGUCUACAUAAUAAUUAACACAAGUACACAAUAAUUCACUAUUAAACAAAAGUCAAUUGAAUUACACAAUAAUUCUAAAUCUUUCAUAUGAAAUUAAUAACAAAAUACAUGUCAAUUUAUCAAAAUCAAAACCUAUUUCAAUUCGUAUAUAAAUGCAUAUAAUAAGUAUGUUGAUUAAAUUAUACUUAAUUAUUUCUAGACAUUUAAUUAAGGAACAAUGCUUAGUGUAUGUGUAAGAGGAACAAUACUUGAAAAACAUGUUUUCUACUUGAUAUUUUACUUACAAAUAAAUCAUGUGAAAAUAUUAAAUUUCAAUAAACUACUCUAUCAAUGCAAGAGAUGUCAAGAAUAGUGGUUUUGCAUGAAUAUUAAUUUAUUUUUAUAAUAAGAAAAGAAACACUUAAUUGAUUAAAUUACCAGAUUUAAAUAUUUAUAGAGAACAUAUUCAUAACAAAACCCAUAAAUUAUCAUAAACCCUAAUAUUUUUAAUAACUAAUUAUAAGAAUAAAACUAAAAUUAGACAAUAAAAUAAAUAGAAAAGAUGAAGAAAAUUUACCUAAAGUAUAAAGCAAAAGGCCAAAAAGCUUAAUUGAUGAUAAAUUUGUAUACAGGAGACUAGGAGAGGUAGGAACGGCGGCUGAAAAAAAAACCCUACAGGAGAAGGAGAAGAUAAAUAAACAAAAGUGAAAGAGGGAAAAUUAGUGAGCUGUAAAUUAUAAUUAUAUAAUAUAUAUAAAAAUAUUGGGAGCUGUAAUUAUAUAUAUAUAUAUAUAUAUAUAUAUAACUUUCCGUAACUGUAACAAUCACAUUAGCCCCCGUAACUGUAACUUUCCUUACUUUCCGUAGCUGUAGCAAUAAUUCAUUUAAAAAAAAAAAAAACUAAGGGGGCAAUUGCCCCCUUUUGACCCACUGUGGCUCCGCCACUGACCGCGCCAUCGUCUUCAUCGCGGUUCUUCGCUGCACAGGUAAGUUUCCCUUCUCUGCAUUCAAUAAGUGUCAAAUGCAGUGUGAAGGUAAUAUAAUUACCUUCACACUAUUCAUGCACGCGUGAAUUAACUUCACGCGUGCUUCUUCUUCUUUUGCCCAAUCGGGCCACUAGCUUGGGCUAGUGGCCAGGCCGGGCUGGGCUGGGUCUAGCCCAGCCCAUGUGGGCUGAGCUGGGCCCAGCCCAAAAAUAAAUAAAUAAAAUAGAAAAAAUAGAAAGCAAAAAAAUAAAAAAUGUGUGCAUGCGUAAAAAAUAAAUUUAUUUUUAUUUAUUUAUUCACUGGCGCUAGAGUAGGGAAUAAAAAAAUAUAUUGAUCUAAUUUUUGUCGUAACUACGAAUUUUUACCAACGCCAGAGUUGGAAUUAUUCGAGCUCGAAUAUUCACUGGCACCAGAGUCAGGAAUAUUAUAAACAAAUCAUCACAGCAUAAAUUAAUAAAUAUUUAGCAAUUUAAAACAAAACCAACAAUGCAGUCUGCCUUAGGCAGAACGUUUAAGGGGUGAUAAUAUCUUCCCUUUUACGUAACCAAUCCCGAGUCAUAGAAUCUCUGUUGACCAGUUAGGAUUCCUAGUGACCAUAAUACUAGGUGGCGACUCCUCAAACGAGACAUUUUUCCCUAAAAGAACCGGAUGCUAGAAAUUUGUUCUUUUUCCAUAAUAAUUCAAGAGAAUUAUUUUGUGGCCCGCCGCGAUGUCCGGGUGCAACAAUAUAUAUAAGUCUUAACAACUCUAAUUAAUUUUUAUUCUUAAUAGAGCAUUGACCAAAAACAUUUAGCAUCAAUGCUUUGAUGCAAUAAGAAUCUUAUAAUUAUAACAAAUUUAUAAUUUUCUUUGUAAAAUAUUUUUUGUUCCAAGUAUUUUAUCUUUACUCCAGAUUCAUUAACCAAAUAUUAGAUUCAUUAUAUUUGAUGAAUAUUAAAAAUAAAUAAAGACAUUACUAAAAUAAAUAUGUUUAUAUAAACAUAGUCAAUUAAUGGAAUGUAUAACUAACCCAAUGUCGACAACGCAUAUACACUAACAAUUUUCACUUGUUAGUGUCCUAUGAUUUUGUGUAGAUAUUGGCAUUGUUAUCCCAUGUUAAAUAUUUUUCAUGCAUUAUAUGACUAGUACUAGACAUUAUAUUAUAUAUCCCAUGUUAAAUAAUUUUCAUGCAUUAUUAACUAGUACUUGUGAGCUUUGAACCUCGUAAAAAAUGAUUUGGGUUAGUUAUAGGAGAUACAACAUGUGUUUGCAUAACCAAAACAAGUAUGAAUACAAUCCUUACUUUAAUUGUUGUUGUUUAUGUGAUAAAAGAGAGAAGUAGUUGAACUAUUUUGAUGAAGAGCAAAUGACUCGUGCAGUAGUAAAUUGUGACUUCUAGGUUAGAAAUAGAGAGUAGACAUCGGUUCUAGAUGAAAAGGCUUGUAUAAUAGUGAUGAACUUUUGAUGAUACUAUAAUUUUGAUGAUUCUAUAAUACUUUAGCGAUGACUAUUUAAAUAUUUUUGUUGGAGGGAGAGUUGUAAUUAAACAGUUAAUCUUAUAUAUGAAAGGGAGAUUUUAAAUAUACAUGUGAUUAAUAACUAUCUUAUAUUAAAAAAAAAAAGUUAUGCUUAUGUACAUAAAAUUAAACCCUAACACAAUAAUUUAGGGUUUUAUGUUAGAGUAAUGUCCAGACGUAGAACUUAUACAUACAAGUGACGACUUCAUAUAUGUUUGAAACUGUUAAAGAACCAUCUCAACCCAAAAGCUUAAGCUAUUAGGUGAGGUCCUAGGAUAUGAUUUAUAUUAUUCUCUAACACACCCCCUCAAAUGAAAACCCUUUGGGCUUGAAACUUGCACAGGCCCACAUUACCCUGUGCUUAAUUUUUAUCAAAUAAAUAGGGAUGGUGAGAUUCGAACUCGUGACCGCUAGGUCAUCAAGGCUAUUAUAUCAUGUCGAAGAACCAUCUCAACCUAAAAGCUUAAGCUAUUAGGUGAGGUCCUAGGAUAUGAUUUAUAUUAUUCUCUAACACCCCCCCUCAAGUGAAAACCCUUUGGGCUUGAAACUUGCAGAAACCAUCAUCCCUUUAUAAACACAAGCCUUUGUCUUGGACAUUGCCUACGUACAAUAUCUGAAGACACACCACUCAUUCCUUUACGCUCUCAACCCACACGUUCCACCAUGUCUUCUCUUCCUUACCCUUCCAAGCAAUCAUCCGCAAGCGAUCAUAGGCUUAAUUAUCAGUCAACAUCUUUGUGUUAUAACCAGGAAAUUAAGGCUACACUAGAAGUAAAAAUUGUUGUUCCACAGCCAAGCAGUAGGGGAGGAGGAGAAGGUGCAUCCACUGAUCAUAAUGGUGUUUUCUUGACUUGGGAGGAUUUGUGGGUAUUAUAGAAUGUACUUAUAUAGGAAAUAUUGUAGACAUACUCUUGUGUGGUAACCUCCACCAUUACUAUUGUAUAUUGCCCUAUAUAUAUAUAUAUAGACAGGGUUGGCUACCCAUUAGAUUAAGCCUCCCAAUUAUUCUCAACUUGGUAUCAGAGCCUUCUGCUGUCAGAACUCUUUUCUCCCUUCCUCCAUUUGCAGUCGCCCCUCUCUUUAUUUUCUCUACAUGGAUUUUACUGCUACCGCCGACUUCUCCCUCUCCACAGGUGGCGCAGCACAGCCGGCAAGCCAUACCCAAGCUGCUGCCACUGGUCCGUUUUCUUCCCCACAACAGCCUCCACUAGUAGAGCUUGUCUCUGAUUCUUCCUCCCAAGUCUCUGCCAUUCCUUUACCUCUCAUGGGAACCCAUACUACAGCUAUUGUUCCUUUAGCGAACACACACCACGUUGUUUCACUAAAGCUUACGAACACAAAUUAUCUCUAUUGGAGAGUGCAAAUGAAGCCAUAUCUCCUUGGUCAAGGUGUUUUUCACUUUGUUGACGGCUCGGUGCCGUGUCCUCCAUCUCAUAUUUUUGACCGCUCUGCUGGUUCUUCCUCUAUCAUCAACCCUUCUUUUCUUCAUUGGAAGCAACAAGAUCAACUUAUUUUGAGUGCUUUGCUCUCCUCUCUCUCCGUGGAUGUCUCGCAUCUUGUGGUAGAUUGUUCUACUUCACAUUGUGUUUGGCACACUCUUGAGAAAGCGCUUGCCUCUCCGUCUAAUUCUCGUAUCAUGCAACUCCAUGGCUCCUUUCAAGACCUUCAGCAAGGUGACUCAUCGGUUAGUCUAUACAUGCAGCAAUUAUUUGACGAAUUGGCUGUUGCUGGUCGCCCCAUGUCUCUUGAAGAUUUCAAUCUUUAUGUGUUUCGUGGCCUUCGUGGUGAGUUCAAAGACUUGGUAACAAGUCUCAUAACCAAGGCAGAACCGUUAUCCUAUGUUGAUCUUCAUAGCCACCUUCUUACCCAUGAAUUUCUGCACAAGAACUCUUUCCAUUCCAUGGCUGCCACUCCCUCUCUGCUAUCUUCUUCUUCUUCUUUGCCGCAGCAGCCACCUUUGUUGUCAAUACCACAGUUUUCUGCACACCAUGCUAUGUCUCAUCACAGCCCUAACUUCAGCCGCAACAGGGGUCGCUCUAGAGGUAAUUGGCGUCCUCAUAGCAACCGUUACACUCCCCAGAACAGGGGCCAAUCUGCUGCAGAUUGGCGUCCAAACCACUGGCAGCAGACCAGGCGCAAUUCCAGUGCUGGGCAGUGGUUUGGACAGCAGCAUGUACGCUGUUGCUACCCAAUUUUUGACCCAUGUUUUGAUAUAUUUUCAAAAAUCCAAAAAAUUGAGAAAAACAAAGAAAAUCCAAAAAAUAUGUUUUUUUAAUAUAUUUUCGUCAUUUUAGCAUUUUUAACGUCGUCUAAAAAAGAAUUUAAAUUGUUAAAAUAUUUUCAAACGCGUUCGACUUUUCACGCGUCAUUUCUAAAAUCAUUGAUUUUCCGCAUUUGAGUCGACGUUGAUAUUGCUCGUUUUUAAAAAAAUACAAAAAAAAUAAGAAAAAUCAAAAUUUACAAAAAAAAAAAAGAGUUGAGGGACCAAGUUGAAAAACCUAGCAAAAGUUUUGCCUAUAAAUACUGGUUUCCAACACUUGCAAGAGGAGGAGGGCAAUUUUGAAAUAUCCAAAAAAAAUACAAAAGAACCUAAACCCUAAAAAACAAGACAAGCAGCUGCCCCUUUUCUAAAGACUCCCAAAGACAGCCGCCACCUUCCCCGGAGUUUGAUACCUCAAAACCAAGCCGGCCUCCCCCCUGGUUUUGAAUUCUUUUUCUCAACACCGGAGCCUCUAAUCUUCUCCACCCGGCCGUUCCUUUUUUUUCCCCUCAAACCUUCCACCGCCGGUGACAGAAACCACGACAGCAGCAGGCGCCCCGCCAUCCUUGGAUUUGGGUUUUUUUUCUUCAGCCGAACGAACCAGCCCCGCAGAUCCUCCUCUCCUCCUCAAGUCGAACCCAGCAGCAGCCCCCCACUGUCUUCCUCUUGGCCUUCCCUCAGUCUCAUCGGGCCGCAGCGUUUCCUCCCUCAGCAGCGACGACCCUCGGCCAUCACAGACCGAUCAGGAUCUCCACCAGCCGCCGCCCCUCUACCCGAAGCAGAGGAGAAGAAGAUAAACCCAUAACAAAACCGACCCUCCUGAGACAGAGACGAGAGGAGGCAGAGAAACGGAAGGGGCAGAUCUCAAAAGAAGAAACCGAAGCAGAUUUUGAAAAAUAAAGAACAAAAUUAAAAUCGACUGCCGAUUGUGUUGUUGUUUGUUUUGCAGGUGACGGGCAGCAGGAGAUUGAAGAGGGGAGGAAGCCAUUGCAGCCCCCUCACGCCGCCUGAAUUUCUGGGCGGCGCGUGAACCCAAUUUUGUACGGGUGCAGAAGUCCUUCCCUGCAAUUUCGGGAGUUUUGAGGGACCAUUUUGUAAAUUUUAAAGUUUUAAUGCAAUUUUUGUUUAUUUAUUUUAAAUUUGUAAUAUGUGAAUGUAAAAGAAAAAAAAAGAAGAAAAGAAGAGAAAAUAAUAAUAAAAAAGGGCAUGUGUGUGUUGGUGUAUUUUUAUUUAUUUAUUUUGAAUUUGUAUUUGUAUUUGUAUUUGUAUCGUGGAUGUAAAAGAAAAGAAAAAAAGAAAAGAAAAAGAAAAGAAAUGAAAAUAGUGAAUGUGUGUCCUUGUAUUUUUGUUUUAUUUAUUUGUACAUAUUUUUUAAUGAUAAAAUUGCAAAUAUAUUAAAGAAGAAUUUAAUAUUUUGAUCGGAUCACGGUUAAGAAUUAUUAACUUAUACGUAAGUGAUAUUUCUAAUUUCCGAAGAAAAGACAAUUAUUAAAACUUCUUUAACACGUCAAAGCCACGAAGCAGCUUACCUCAGGUAGGGUGCGUUAGGGGUGCUAAUAUCUUCCCUUACCCGCAAAUCUCUGACAAGACCAGUACAUCCGGUUUCCUAGUAGCCCACAAUCAAUUACUAGGUGGCGACUCCAACGAACCGAAUUCAAAGCAAAAUGCAACAAACGAGAUUUAAAUCGCCAGCCGAUGCCGCGCGCUGAUCUGAUUUUUUGUUUUUUUUUUGGGUGCGACAUACGCUACCAAUUAUGUUGUGGUUUUGGGCACACAGCUCCCCAUUGUUCCCAGUUUCAUAGCAGCUCUCCGCAACCCUCUGCUCAUCUUGUUGUUGGGAAUAUUUUUGUUGCAACUUGGUUUCCCGACACCGGCACAAAUCAACACGUCACACCAGAUCUUGGAUCUCUGACCGAUUCUGCACCCUAUCUUGGUAAUGAUUAUUUGCAUGUUGGUGAUGGUAAGGGCCUUGACAUAUGCCAUAUUGGACAUACUAAAUUACAUUCCCCAAAACGCAUGUUUACAUUAUCUAAUGUUCUCCAUGUGCCUCACAUUACCAAACCGUUGUUAUCUAUUCAAAAAUUAUAUCGUGAUAAUUAUGUUUAUUUUGAAUUUCACGCCUCUAUGUUUUACGUGAAGGAUCUCGUCACCAAGGAAGUUCUCCUUUCCGGUCAGAGUCAUGAUGGUCUUUAUGUCCUCUCCGAGUCUUCUGCCACGUCAGUUCCUCAAGCUUUUUGGUCUCCUUGCAUCUCCGUGACUGCCGACCUGUGGCAUCGUCGUUUGGGUCAUCCAACCCCUCGCAUUUUCAAUUUGUUAGUUUCUGGCAAUAAAAUCGUAUGUACUUCUAGACGUUCUUGGUUAGUACUUAAAAGUGCAUGUUUAUCAAGGGUUUAUAUCAUCAUUUUGCACUUAAAGUAUCAAUAACUCCUUAACUAAAGCAUGUUUUAUAAUAACAAGUCUAAUAUUAUAAAAUGCCUUAAUAUAUGGUAAAUGUUCAUCUUAAAUGCAGGCUUAUCACAUAAAUCAAAGGAUUGAUUGAUGAAUUCAACUACUGAAAUUUUGAAGAUAAAGAGGGAAACUUAGAAAAGAGAUGUUGGUGCAGUCCAAACUGGAACACUGUUCGGUAAUUGGGUCAUAUCUCGAGUUCUAGAUCCAAAUGACCUCAAAUUUUACAAGAUUUAUAAGACAUAGGCCUACAACUUUCAUUUUCAUCAAGAUCUAAGAAGGCCAUUUUCAAGUCCAAAUUAUAGCAACAACGGAGAAGCCCGAAUCUGUCCUGCAGCCCAAACAAUGUUCAGUGUUUGGCCCAUAUCUGAAGUUCUAGAAGUCCAAAUCACCUCCAUUUUUUUUUCCUGGAAAGCUGAGUUAAUUUCCUACAACUUUCAUGCUUUUUAAGUGGACCCAGUUCUGAUGCUAGCAUUUUCGUUUUAUUCAGACAAGAAGAUAAGGAUUUUCACAAAGUCAAAAGUUGGCCACCCACUCAACAAUUAGUCAUCAAAUCAAUAAUUCUGAAUUUUGGCCUAUAAAAGGAGGCAUUUUCCAUGUAUUUAGGGGCUUGGUUGUUCAGAUCAAGUUCAUGCUCUUUAUUUUCUCUCUUUAUAUUUUUGUAAUUCUUAAGUUUUGCUUUCAUUAAUUUCUUGUUUAUGCUUUUCAUUUCCUUUCUUUUCCUUAGUUAACUUGUAUCUUAUUUAUGUUCUUGUUUUGUUUAUUUAUGUUUCUCUUCUUCAUUAUGUUUAGCUAAGUUUAUUAUGUCAAGGUGAAAAGGUUACACUAAUGGUGUAAGAACAAGUAUGGUGUAAACUCAACAUGGACCUUAAUGUUUAAUAUUAACAUGUCUUAUCUUUUUAUCUUACUAAUUCUUAAUACCUUGCUUGUUAAAUGGUUAAUCUAGAUUUGUGUUGUAUAAUACUUGGUACAACAAAUGCUUGGCACUCUCAUAGCCCAACCGUAUGGUAUUACCUACACCUGGGCUAUGAAAGGAACUUGAUUUGUUGUUAACAUCAGUUAACAUCAUGAAUUCCUGACAAUAUUUAAAAGUUUGGUGUUAUGUAAGAUAAAAUAUAUUAAUAUGAUCAUGUUAAUAAUUUAUAAUGAGCUAUUAAUGACAAAUCAUCCGAUUGGAACCUCCUUCGUGUGUGGUUUCCAAAUUGAGUAAUAAGAGUUUAUACUAUACUUGUUUGAAAUACCAUUGGUGGAUCCUCUAACCUUGACAUUUGUUUUUAUUAUUGUUUAAUCCUUACAUUAAUCUUCCAUCUCAAAGUUCUCAUUAAUUUCUUCCUCCUCUUCUUUUUAUUGUUAUUAUUAUUAUUACUACUACUAAUAUUAUUAUUAUUAUUAUUAUUAUUAUUUAUAUUCUUGUCAUAUUUUAUGUACGUUAAGUAUGCUCUGUGUUUGAUCAAGGAUCCUGACAUUGUUGGUCUUGCCUUGUUCAUUCGCAUCAGAAAUCUGUUUAUAUUAUAUAAUAUAUCUCUUUGAUCUUUUCAUAAACUCAGUAUAUAGGUUGGAAACCUGUGACCCGAUCUUUUAAAUCAUUCUCAGGUAUAACAACGCCAUAUACUGAGUAUUAUUAUUAUUAUUAGUAUUAUUACUAUUAUUGUUAUUAUUAUUGUUGUCAUUGUUGUUAUUGUUGUUAUUGUUGUGUUGUUAUUUAUAAUUUAUACAAUUAACCUCUCUGUGGUUCGACCCCGAUCUUGCCGGGUUAUUUAUUACUUCGACACUCCUACACUUGGAAGAAAACAUCAAUCUUUUGGUCGUGUCAGUUCUCUUACUCAGUGUCAAGCUUGUCCUUUAGGAAAGUCAUCCCGUUUGUCAUUACGACCUACGGGUCACAAAACUUCUACCCCACUUGAAUUAAUUUUUAGUGAUGUUUGGGGUCCUACCCCUAUGUUUUCUUCUGAUGGCUUUCGCUAUUUUGUUAUUUUUAUCGAUGCGCAUACCAAACAUAUAUGGUAUUAUCCGCUUGUUGCGAAAGCUGAUGUCUUUUCCAUUUUUCAAUGUUUUCAAACACUUGUUGAGCAUCAGUUUUCUCUUAAAAUUAAAUUUGUUCAAACUGAUUGGAGCGGUGAAUAUCGUAAAUAAAAUAAAUUUUUUCAGACCAUUGGUAUUCAUCAUCGGUUAAUUUGUCCUCAUACUCAUGAACAAAAUGGCACUGUUGAACGUUGUCAUCGAUAUAUUGUUGAAACUAUGCUUUUGAAUCAUGCGAUUAAUAAGGUAACCCUUUUAGGCCAAUGUAGUGCCCUAUUGCGAUUUUGGAACUAUGCUUUUGAAUCAUCGGUCUACCUUAUUAAUCGCAUGCCUCCUCUUGUUCUCCAAAAUACAUCUCCAUUUGAGUGUCUGUUUCAACGCACUCCUGAUUAUAAUUCCUACGUACCUUUAGAUGUCUUUGUUUUCCCUUUUUACGUCCAUAUCAUGCUCAUAAAUUAGAUUUCCGGUCUUCUCCUUGUGUGUUUUUAGGUUUAGCUCAUCCCAUCUUGGUUAUCGUUGUCUUGACUUAGAGUACGUCUCCCGUCAUGUUCCUUUUCAUGAAAAUGUCUUUCCUUUUGCGAAGUCUGAACAAGUAACGUCCUCAUCGGUACCUCCCACUCCACCUACCUAUCUUCCAUCCUUGAACCCUCCUCAAUCCUUUUAGCCUACUACUUACCAAACCGGCCCCAACCACAACCCAAGUCUGCCCUCUUCCGCACCUCACCAGACAACCCCUUUGCCAAUAUAUUCUGCCACCCCUUCAUCACCAUCCCACACUGCCAUACUGUCACCAUAUGCUUGUCUUUCCAAUGAUCAUUGUGCAGGAACAGGUUCUCCAUCACCGAAUGCACAUGUUCUCAGGUCUGCUGCAACAGAGCAACCCAGUUUUGCAGCAAAUCAUCCCAGUUCUGUCGCAGCCUCACCAGUGUCUGCAAUGCCGACCAGUCCCUCCACUACUUCUCCACCUGGUCUGUAGCUCUGUGUAGACCUCUCCUCAUAUCCUCUUCAGCAUCUUCCAGGUACAUGUCACACUUCUUCAUGCCCAGCUGCUCGUCAACAUCCCAUGAUUCUUCGUCCAAGACAGCGUUGUCCACAACCACUACCGCAGCCUCUGCUGUCUCCUUCAGCCGGGUAGUUUCUCCUCCCUCUCAUGAGCCACCUGUUUUUAAUGAUGCUAACAGGUAUGAAGUGUGGCAUAUUUCUAUGCGUGAGGAAAUUCAGGCCUAACGCGCAAACAGAACUUGGACCUUAGUGUCGUUUCAUCCCUCUAUGAAUGUUGUUGGUAGUCGGUGGGUAUACAAGAUUAAACACAGAUCUGAUGCUUCACUCAACAAGAAGGUAUCGAGAGGUAUAAGGCGCGUCUGGUUUCUAGAGGCUUCACUCAACAAGAAGGUAUUGAGUACUCUGAAACCUUUAGUCUUGUCAUCAAGCAGGUGACCGUCAUAUUAGUCUUCUCCAUUGCAGUUUCAUGUGGUUGGAAAAUUCAUCAGCUUGACAUCCAUAAUGCCUUCCUUAAUGGUGUUCUUGAUGAGGAGGUCUACAUGAAACAACCUCCAGGUUUUGUUGAUUCUGCUCUCCCCUAUUAUAUAUGUCGAUUGCAUAAAUCUCUAUGGUUUAAAACAGGCUCUACGGGCUUGGUACACUCGUCUGAAUGAUUUCCUGUUAUCUAUUGGUUUCCAUGUCUCUAAGGUGGAUACCUCAUUGUUUAUCUUCUCUGUUGGUGCUGAUAUUUGUUAUCUUCUGGUCUACAUUGAUGAUUUUCUGCUUACGGGUAGUAACUCUCUUCUGCUCCAACGCCUAAUUCAGCUACUAAGCUCAGAAUUUAAGCUUCGCGACUUGGGUUCUAUUCACUAUUUUUUAGGUAUUAAGGUUCAAUCUACUAGUAUGGGUCUUAUGCUCCGCCAGCAUAAAUAUAUACUUGACAUCCUCACUCGAGCUGGAAUGUUAUCUUGCAAACCUGUUGAUACUCCUAUCUCUACAUCCAAAGUUACCAUUCAGCCCAAUCCAUUCUUUUCUGAUGCUACCCGUUUUCGUUAAAUUAUGGGUGCUCUUCAAUAUCUCACUUUUACACGCCCAGAUAUUUUCUUUGCUGUUAACAGAGUCUGUCAGUUUAUGCAUGCUCCUACAGAUUCUUAUUGGGCUGUCGUGAAACGCAUCUUGCGUUAUCUUUGGGGUACGGCAUCACAUGGCUUACAUAUUACUCGCAGUUCUUCUUUUACCUUACAUGGUUUUACAGAUACAGAUUGGGCAGGUAAUGUUGAGGAUAGAAAACCUAGGGGUGGUUACCUUGUGUUUUUUGGUCAGACGUCGAUUUCAUGGAAAUCCGGUAAACAACGCAUAGUUGCUCGCUCUUCUACUGAAGCUGAGUACAAAGCCUUAGCCGAUGGCACUGCUGAGGUUAUCUGGCUUCAGUACUUAUUAACAAAUCUCUAGCUUCCAUCUGCUUCUGCUCCUAUUAUCUGGUGUGAUAAGCUUGGUGCCACUUAUCUAUCUGCGAAUCCUGUUUUUCAUGCUCACAUAAAACAUGUUGAGGUUGAUUAUCAUUUUGUCCGAGAUAGAGUUGCAAAGAAAGAGAUUCAGAUUCGUUUUAUUUCCUCUCAAGAUCAACUUGGCGAUGUCUUCACUAAGCCACUUCCUACUUCUUGGUUUAUUGCUUUUCGUUUCAAGCUUCGGGUUGAUCCUCCACCCUCAGCUUGAGGGGGCAUAUUAUAGAAUGUACUUGUAUAGGAAAUAUUAUGGACAUACUCUUGUGUGGUAACCUCCACCAUUACUAUUGUAUAUUGCCCUACAUAUAUAUAUAGACAGGGUUAGCUACCCAUUAGGUUAAGCCUCCCAAUUAUUCUCAACUGUCACCACAAGAAUUCACAGUUUUAUCGACGAAAAUAUUCUGUCGGUGUGUGUUUAGGAGUUCGUCGGUAACUUAUUUACCGACUAAAUUGCCGACGGAAUACGACCAUCGGCUAACCUUUCGUCGGUGAUUCCACAUUCCGUCGCUAUAUCGGUCGGAAAAACAAAAAAAACAUUUACCGACGGUUUUACAGACGGACUUUGCGCGCCAAAAAAACAAAGAUUUCCCGCUUGAAAAAUACCGACGGAUUUUAAUCCGUCGGUGGUAUCACAAGUCACCGACGGUUACUGGCCGUCGGUAAAGUGGUCGGUGAAUUUUAAAAUACCGACCGAAUAUAUCCAUCCGUAAAUUCGUUGGUAAGUUAAAUUACCGACGGAAUAAGUCCGUCAGUAUAUCUGUUGGUGAGUCAAAAAUAUACCGACCAAAUUUAUCCGUCUGGAAAUUUGUCGGUGAUGGUCUCGGCUACUGUCUAAUGCUGACGGUUUAAUUCCGUCGGUAAAUCCCUCUGUAAUGUUUUUUUUUAUUAUUUUUUUUAAAAUUAUUUUGAAUACAUAAUAUAAAAAUGAUAUAAAUUAAUGGUAAUAAAUACCAAUUAUGCAAAUAAAAUUUAUAUUAAGCAUCAAAAACAAAAAAUGAAAGAUAAAUAAUAUUCAUUACAAAAUGAAUGUGUGUCAAAAAAAACAUUAAAUGAAAUUUUAAAUGUAAAUAAUGUUUAUUAAAAAUUAAUAUAAAGGUCCUGGAGGAGGAGGAGGUUGGCUAUUAUGCGGCCAAAAAGGAUUUGGUGCACAUGUUCCACCUUGUGCCAUGUUCAUGACCAUUUGACGAAGCUCUUCAUAGGCCGCUCUUUGUUGUUCAGUCUCCGCUCUUUGUCGUUCAGACUUCGCUCUAUAUUAUGUAUUCAAAAUAUUCACAAACCUGCAACUAUUAACAAUAGACACAAACAAUUCACCCAAUCUAUUCUAAUUAUUCCAACAUAUUCAAUUACUAAUCCUAAGGUAAAUUAAACAUUAACAAUUACAAUUCAACAAAUUAUUCAAUAAUUAUACCAAUACAACAAGACAAUAAAUUCAAAAUAAAUAGAAACAAUUAAACACAUAUCAUGCAAUAAUAGAAUAAAAUUAAUAAUUCUUCCAACAUAUUCAAUUACUAAUUCUAUGCUAAAUUAAACAUUAACAAUUUUAAUUCAACAAAUUAUUAAAUAAUUAUGCCAAUACAACAAAACAAUAAAUUCAAAAUAAAUUGAAACAAUUAAACACAAAGCAUGCAAUAAUAGAAUAAAAUUAAUAAUUCUUCCAACAUAUUCAAUUACUAAUUCUAUGGUAAAUUAAACAUUAACAAUAUUAAUUCAACAAAUUAUUAAAUAAUUAUGCCAAUACAACAAUAAAAUAUCAAUAAAAUAAUUAAAAAUAAUGAAAAUAAUUAAACACAAACUAUUAAAUAAUUAUGCCAAUACAACAAUAAAAAAUAUUCAAUAAAUUAAAAAAGAAUUAUAAACUAACAAUUAAAAACAAUCAAAAUAAUAAAACACAAAACAUAACAAUUAUGCCAAUACAACAAUAAAAAAUAUUCAAUAAUUAAAAAAAAAAAAAACUAUAGACUUUACGGAAGAAAUAUGCAUACCUUAAUAAUGUGUUGAAACAAAAAUUGUUCUACAUUACAAAAAAAAUCAACAAAACAAAAGGCAUAAAAAUAAAUAUAAAUAAAAUGAAAUGAAAUAGAAAAAAAACACAUACCCUUUAAUGUGAUGAAGAUUCACGACCAAGCUUGCUAGAGAUUCAACAAAUCUUGAAGAUUUGAGAGGAAAAAAAUCGAAACCUUGAAGAAUAUUGGGCGAGAAACAGAGGAGAAGAAAAAAUGAACUGAAGGGGCAGACGCAAGAACUUAUAGUGCAGUUUUACCGACGGAUUCACCGACGGAAAUAUAAAAUUAUUAUUAUUUAAAUUAAAUUCGUCGAUAACUUGCUAAAAAUCCGUCGGUAAUUUUUAAAUUUCGCAUCGAAGUUUUUAAUUACCCUCCACAUUUUUCGCAGUCCGUCGGUAAUCUGACACGGUCAGAGGUGCAUUCAAUGCACAGCCUUUGGAAUUCGCACUUUCCGUCGGUAUUUUUGUCGGUAAACUUUGACCACCGACAAUAUACCGAUGGAAUAAUUUCAUCGGUAUUAACGUCGAUAAAUCUGUCGGUGUCGAUGUCGGUGAUUAUGGCAUUUUGUUGUAAUUAUUUUCGAACUCUCUGUGAGAUGCCGACGGACGGUGGUCCGUCGGUAUGGACGUCGGUGAUUGUGGCAUUUUGUUGUAAUUAUUUUUGAACUCUUUGUGAGAUGAUCGACGUCGGUGAUUGUGGCAUUUUGUUGUAAUUAUUUUCGAACUCUCUGUGAGAUGCCGACAGACGGUGGUCCAUCGGUAUCGACGUCGGUGAAUAUUCAAUGUACAAGAGAUGUUGUGUUUGUAUUUUCUAUUUACCUUCCUGUAAAAAAUUCAAUGAUAAACUGUCCAUCACAAAAACAAUAGCAACAGUGCUUAAACAAUAAAUAUAUAUUUCGUGUUACAAAAUAUAUCAUCCAUAAUGUAAAUUACAUGAGAAAGGGUUUUACACAGGGCUUUUUUGAUAGUUAGUAGAAUUUCUUCUUCUUCUCAUCAAUUGAAUGUCAUCACCUUCAUCGCAAUCUUCAAUAUGGAUAUCAUCUUCUUCAUCGACAUUUGCUUGUCCGCUAGAGCUCAACAACAUUCAACUCCUCUACGUCAACAUCAACAAGACUAUCAUCGAAACACGAAAAUUUGAAUUUUCUUCCAAUUCAAUCGAAGGAGCAACUCGAUAUGGUUCAACCAACUCACUAACUUGAAAGACUUCAUCCGCACACUUGUGUCUUCGUUCUCAUCCUGAACAACCUCGACACGACCCCGUGGUUUCGUUUUUAAAACGGACAACCAAUCAACUCUUGAUCGAUCCUUUCUAAAUGAAGGGGUGUAUGUGUAAUAAACUUGUUGACAUUGCUUUGCGAAAACAAAGACAUCGUUUAUGUUGCGGAGUCUAGCUUUUGAGUUGAUUUCGACCAGACCAUGGUGCGGAUCAACUCUGAUUCCUCUGUCCGUCGUGUCAUACCAAUAGCAUUUGAAUAAAAACACUUUAUUCUGCUCGCUAUGAUAUUGCAGUUCGACGACCUCUUCUAAUCUACCAUAGUAGUCAACUUCUAACUCACUACUUGUGGAUCCCUUAACACAAACACCGCAGUUGUAUGUCUUUCUUCCUUGCCCGUAUUCUUCAGUAUGGAAAACAUAUCCAUUGACAAAAUACCCGUUGUAGCACUUAACUUUUCUUUCAGGCCGAGGCUUAGUGAAGACAAUGACGGCGCACUCCUUCCCAUUUGAUAAACCUUGUAUAAUGUAAUGUACAUCAAUAAACGGUAAAUGAACGAGAAUCUCGUAAUGACAUGCAUACGUACAGUAAUUUGUUAAAUGAGUUUGUGAUAGUGCUUACAUGUGUUCUGAACCAUGUGGCAAAUUGUUCAUCUUGUAAUUGAAAGAUCUGGGAUUCGGUCAGCUGCGAGUUAUUGGAGAGCAAAUAUUGUCGAUGUUGCCUGCAAGUGAUAAUGAGUGUAUGAUUACAAUAUAUAAUUAACAGUAUAUUACUGACAAAGUUUAAUUAGUAUUACACAUAUAUAACUUACUGAAUAAAUGGUCUCAGCUCAUCACAGUUAAAUAGAACAUAGUUGUGUGCUUGUUUGAAUUCUAUUUCCGACAAAUAUCUUCCUCUUACGGCAUUUUUAGGUGUGGGUCGUCCAGUAUUGGAGAAUAUUGACAAGUUCCCACUGGAAGGCACUUCACCGCCAUCGUCAUGCCGUGGAACGCGAUUGAUUCUUGUUCUCAGAUGAGGUUCGAAAUAGUACGAGAUAAAUGUUGAUAUCUCUUCAACAAUAUAGGCCUCAGAUAUCGAAGCCUCAACAUGCGCCUUGUUCUUAACCUUUUUUUUAGAUUAAACAAGUACCUGCAUUGAAUUACAAUUCAAGUAUUUUCAAUUAAGAAAAACAUAUAAAAAUACUUUAAGAUAUGAAUUCCAUUGCAACUGUAAUAUCUCACCGUUCGAAUGGGUACAUCCAUCUAUACUGGACCGGUCCUCCAGCUUUUGCCUCGAACGGUAGAUGUAUAGGGAGAUGCUCCAUUGAGUCAAAAAAUGGAGGGAAUAUCAUCUCAAGUUUGCAUAGUGUCUCGAUGAUAUUCGUUUGAAGCUCUCAAUGUGCUCAACAUUCACUUGCUGGAGCAUAUAUCUCUGAAGAAAUGACUGAUCUCCGUUAGUGCAUCCCAUAUUCCCUUUGGCAACAAAUCACGAAAAGCUAAUGGGAUGAGUGUUUGCAUAAACACGUGGCAGUCAUGACUCUUCAUUCCAUACAAUCUGCAGUCCUCUAUGUUAACAAGCCUUGAUAUGUUCGAUGCAUGUCCAUCCGGAAACGCAGACUCUUAAGCCAUUUGUAGACUAGCAGUUGUGCUUUUUCUCUAACACGAAGCUUGCCCUUGGUUUUGCAACCCGUGACUCUCAUAAACCAACUCCAUAUUUUUACGGUUACAGUAUAAAGCUAUAUCCAAUCUAGCCUUCAUGUUGUCCUUUGUCUUCCCCUUCACAUCCAUGACGGUGUUGAAAAUAUUCUCAAACACGUUCUUUUCGAUGUGCAUGACGUCAAGGUUAUGGCGGAGAAGAUUAGUCUUCCAAUAAGGAAGCUCCCAAAAGAUACUUCGCUUUACCCAAUUAUGGGUCAAACCAAAACCAGGAAACUUUUGCUUACCUGAUUGAAGGCCAAACACAAUGUCACCGUACUCUGAUACAACAUGAUGCAAUUCUUCACCAGAAAGACGCGGGGAUGCAACAUCUUUUUCAACUCUACCAACAAAGAAAUCUUUUCUGUUCUUUCUGAACCUGUGAUUAAGUGGCAAGAAGCGACGGUGACAGUAAAAAAAGAAGCUUUACCUCCGUUUGCUAGCGUGAAUGCCUUGUUGUUUUCCAUGCAGUAUGGACAUGCGAGUUUCCCAUGCGUGCUCCAACCAGAAAGCAUUCCAUAAGCUGGAAAAUCACUGAUAGUCCACAUCAAAGCCGCCCUCAUAAGGAAAUUUUGUUUCCUCGAUAUAUCAUAAGUCAGAGCUCCGGAGGACCACAACUGCGCCAGCUCAUCUAUCAACGGUCGAAGACAAACAUCUAUAUUCCGCCCCGGGCUGCUUGGACCGGGUAUGACAGUAGAUAAAACAUGAACUCCGGCCUCAUACACAUUCCCGGUGGCAAGUUAUAAACUGUGAGAAUGACCGGCCAACAAGAAUAGGGAGCAGCAAAUGACCCAAAUGGGUUGAACCCGUCUGUACACAACCCAAGACGACAUUCCUUGAUUCAGCAGAAAAGUCAGGAUGCACACUGUUAAAGCGUUUCCACGCUUCGCCGUCAGAAGGAUGCACCAUCACACCAUCAACGCAUCAUGUGUUUGGUGCCAUGUCAUGUGCUCAGCAGUCCUUGGUGACAUAAAUAACCUCUGCAGUCUAGGUGUGAUCGGGAAAUAUCUAAGUUUUUUAUACGCCACUAGAGUCUUCCCCUGCCAGUUCUGGGUUUGUAACGGGAAUGCCCGCAUGUCAUGCACUCGGUCAUCUCACAUUUUCAAGGUAGUAUAACAUGCAGAAGUUAGGGCACAUGUCAAUUUUCUGGUAUCCUAAACCGAGGGGUUUCAUCAUGGACUUCGCAGCAUAGAAGUUCUCUUUGAGCCUGUUCCCUUCAGGUAAAAUGCUUCUUGCCCAAUCAAUAAUUUUGUCAUACCCGGCCUCACUCAACCCGUGAUCUGACUUGAUGGUGAACACCUGUGCCACGGCCGAUAAUUUACUGUGGUUUGUGCAGCCAUCCCAUAAUGGUUCGUCAGAAUCUUUCAACAAAUCAAAAAACCUAGCUGCCUCUGCAUUAGGUUCUUCUUCUACGAUUGGACAUUGAUUGACAUUAUCUUGAUUCAUUCUCAUUGCAUCCAUAACCAUGUUUCUGUAAGGAUUAGUGUUGUCAUUUGCCGCUUCAUGCACGUUGCUAGCACUAGAAGUUGACCCAACCACCGUUUCUCCCAUUCUCCUAUUACUAACAAAUACCUCUCCAUGUGCAUACCAACACUGUUAAUCCUCCAUAAACCCUUUGUGUAGAAGAUGCAUCAUUACAACAUCUGGAUGCAGAUACUUUUUAUUUUGACACUUCCUGCAUGGACACCUAAUACCGCCUCCAGUAAAGUUUCUGGGAAUAGAUGUUGCGAAAUUAAUAAAACCCUGAACCCCAUUACAAUAAUCCAUCCUCCGCAAUCCUUGGGGUGAAUCUAGAUACAUCCAUGACUUCUAUCGAACCUCUAUAAAAUUAUGAUGACAUCAUGUAUUAAUUAACUAAGUUAGGUAAAUAAACUUGCAAAAAUAUUACAUUACCUCGAGAUUAUCCAACAAACCAAUCACAACUUCUCAUAAAUAACAAUAAAAUCUACUAACAAAAAAUCUAAAACAAACCAUAACAGAUAUAAAAUUAUACAUUCAUAUACUACAAGUUUGUUUGAGAAAUAACAAUAAAACACGUACAUCUACUAACAAAAAUACAUAUACUAAAAAAACAAUAAAAUUGACAUUUAAAUAUUAAAAUUUAAAUAGAUAGAAAUACUUGCAAAAAUUGAUUAAAUCCGUCGGUAAAUCAGAACACGGAUGUUGUGACCACAAAACUUCAAGAAAUACAACUUGUUGUGCUGAGAUGAGGAAGCAUUUUGUUUGGGUGCAAGGGGGGCUGGUUAUUUGCAGAUGGGGAGAGUUAGGAUUAAGAAGAAGAAGGAGAAAUGGGGGAGGAGAGAGUCGGCUAUUCUGACUGGAAAAUAGACACAUCACCGUAUGGACCAGCUUUUCAAAUCCCUCGGUGAUUCCAUCAGUAUUGUUGAUGAUGAACCAGUCACGUCAGCCGUACGGGUCUGCCAUGUCAAAUUCGUCGGUGAUUCCGUCGGUAUUUUUAAUGGUGAACCGAUCAAAUCACCUGUACGGGUCGACCGUUUUGAAUCCGUCGGUGAUUCUGUCGGAAAUAACACCCGCCAAAAGCAACCCGCCCUUUUUUUCUUUAUCCCGAACUUUCCGUCCGUAAUUCGGUCGGUAAUUACCGACUUAAUUACAGACGGAAAUUGUCCGUCGGUAAUUUCAACCUCAUAUUACCGACAGAAUUAUUCCGUCGGUGAUUCCAUUGUUAUUAAACGAAUUUCUGGUAGUGUGUGAGUGAUUGUUUCCAAUGGGAAAAAAGGCAGUAAAUCAAUCCUUUAGGGCUUAACUGGUUAUGCUCAGCCUGGAGAGCUUUUGGCUAUAAUGGGUCCUUUAGGCUGUGGCAAGUCAACACUUCUUGAUACAUUGGCAGGUAACUAAUUAAAUAGUACUCAGCUUUUGGAGCAUGCUCAUCACAACAUAUCUGAUCCUCUCUGCUAAUGUUGAUCAAAUCUUAAAAAACAAGCUCCCAUACAUUAUAAGAUCACAAUAACACUAAUCAUGUUGAUCUGCAUAAUCUUUCUUGACAGCUGAUUUAUGUGUUUCAAAUGUUAUAGUUUGACUUGAGUUUCUGUUGCAGGGAGACUAGGUUCAAACACACGAUAAACAGGAGACAUACUAAUCAAUGGCCACAAACAAAGGCUGGCUUAUGGUAGGUACAUCGAUAAGGAAAAACAAAUUGAAGAAAAUGAUGAAAACAUUAUGAAUUUUAUAUCAUAAAAUAUAAUAUUUGAAUAAUCAUCGACAAAUAUUUUCUAAAAGGUUUUUUUUUUCAUUGAUGCAUACAUGCUUAUGUAACUCAAGAUGAAAGCUUAAUCACUACAUUAACAGUCAAAGAAGCUGUGUACUACUCAGCCCAGCUCUAAUUGCCAGACUCAAUGUCAAGGGCAGAAAAGAAAGAGAGAGAAGAGGUGACAAUAAGAGAAAUGGGGCUGCAAGAUGCCAUGAAUACAAGAAUUGGAGGGUGGGGAUCUAAAGGACUUAGUGGUGGUCAGAAGAGGAGAGUGAGCAUUUGCAUAGAGAUACUAACACAUCCGAAACUUCUCUUUCUUGAUGAACCCACAAGUGGGCUUGAUAGUGCAGCAUCAUAUUAUGUCAUGAGCAGAAUUGUUAGAUUUGACCGCAAGGAUGAAAAUAGAAGAACUGUAAUUGCAUCCGUUCAUCAGCCUAGUGGUGAAGUCUUUUAGCUUUUCGACAGUCUUUGCCUGCUCAGUGCUGGUAAAGUAGUGUGUUUUGGCCUAACUUCUCAAGCAAAUGAGGUAUUUGAGCAUCAAAAUUUUGUAGGUUUAGUUGAUCUAAUAUAGGAAUUAACAGCUUGCCUAAUCCUCAUCUUUAUUUUGUUUCAAUAUAGUUUUUUGCCUUAAAUGGCUUUCCUUGCCCUACUCUCCAGAACCCAUCUGAUCAUUUCCUGAAAACCAUAAACAAAGAUUUCGAAACGGUAUGUUGUCUAAUCCAAGGUCUGGCUUUACGGUAUCUUUGGUUAAUUAGUAUAUAAGGAUAGAAGAGACUGAGACAAUUAAGUGUUGAUUGGUUGAACACCAAUGUAGACAAUGCUCAUAAAAAUUCAGAUUAUGUCCUUCACAGGAUCCUGAACAAGGUUUAGAAGAUGCAAUUACCGCAGAGGCAACGAUUAAUAUUCUUACAAAGGCGUAUAAAUCAUCAGACCAUUAUCAACAGGUUAAAAGACUAGUCACAGAAAUAUGUGAAAAGGUAUACUCUAAUUCCCUCCCACUUUUCUAAGUGAUAAAUUCUUGAUAUUACAGUCAUUAAAAGGGAUGAUUAACAGUCAGAUGGAUAUAGGAUUGUGGGACAUUAGAGGAAAGAAGCCAUUCUAGCUUCCUUACUCAGUGUCUUGUGCUUACAAGAAAAUCUUUCGUAAAUAUGUAUCGAGAUCUUGGGUACUAUUGGUUGCGGGUCGCCAUCUAUGUCUCAUUAGCAUUAGGCCUUGCCACUUUAUUUUACAACCUUGGAUCUGAUAAUUGUUGGUGGGAGAAACCACUGAUGGUGGCUUUGAAACACUCAAAGGGGAUAAAACACAAGGUUUUAUUACAAGAACACAAGCUUACAAUUAAUUAACAAAAACUUACAAUACACGUCCUCUCUCUCUAUUCUCUUUCUAGUGUUUCUCUCAAUUCUCUCCACACAAAUAAACACAAGCUGGGCACUCUAUUUAUACACGAAUUCAAAAUAUGAAAAUUCAAACUUUCUAGGUGUGAAGGCGGCUGGCGGCUGCGGCUGGUGGCUGGUGGCUGGUGGCUGGUCGAUUGGUGGCAGCUGUGGCUGCAAGUGGUGGUUGCCUUCCUUGACCUUCUAGAUAUUGAGUUUAAUAUUCAACAAAUCUCCCCUUUAAACUCAAUCAAGGGAUAUCAUGCUAAGCAUGAACACUUCUCUUUUCAAUGCCUUCUCUCUGUUUGUAGCCUUUAUCCACUAAUUUGGCUUUCAUCUUGUAGACCCAUUUGACACCUUUUGCUUUCUUGUUUUCUAGUGGAUAAGUCAGCUUCCAGAUAUCUUUUUCUCAAUGGCAUGUAUUUCUUCAUCCAUUGCUUUAAUCCAUUUCUCUUUUGUGACAGCUUUAUUGAAGCUUAAUAGGUCACUAUCUGCAUGGAAACAAAAUAAAGUUGUAUCUUCCAUGACUUGAGUGGCAUCGUACAGCUCUUCAAGAUUUCUCAUCCUUCUUGGUCCUUCUGAUGAGGAUGCUGAUGGUGGUGUUGAUGAUGAUGCUCCUGGUGUGUUCCUCCUGUUGAAUACAAGGAAUCUGUGCACCGGAAUUUGUGGUUCAACUGCUGGUAUAAACACCGGACUUUGUGGUUCAGCUGCUGGUAUAAACACCGGACUUUGUGGUUCAGCUGCUGGUAUAAACACCGGACUUUGUGGUUCAGCUGCUGGCACAACCGGUUCUUCUACAUGUACAAUUGGUUCUUCUACAAGUAUUGUUGGUACUUCUUCACCUUCAAGGAUCAAAUCAGUGUUGAUCCAUCUGACUGCUUCUUGAUCAUCAUUCCAUGCCCAAGAUUUAUCUUCUUUAAAGAUAACAUCUCUACUCAUAAUCACCUUCUUCGUGAUGGGAUUAUACAGCUUGUAUCCCAUCCUUCUUUCACCAUAUCCGACAAAGAUGCAUUUCUCGCUUUUAUCAUCGAGCUUUGUCCUUCUUGCAUCUAGGAUCUUUGCAUAUGCCACACAACCAAAGACUCGUAGAUGAGUAACACUUGGUUUGUGACCACUCCAUGCUUCUUCUGGAAUGACGCCUUGCAAACUUCUGGUUGGGCAGCGAUUCAGUAAAUACAUUGCACAUGAUACAGCUUCAGCCCAGUAUUGCUUGGGCAGCUUCUUUGCUUUGAGCAAACUUCUGGCCAUGUCAAGAAUCGUUCGAUUCUUCCUCUCGGCUCGGCUACACCAUUCAGCUGUGGUGUAUAAGCUAGUGUCGUCUGAUGUCGGAUGCCUUGUUGUGUACAAAAGGCUUCAAAGUCAUUGGCUGUAUAUUCUCCACCUUGAUCAGAUCUUACGGUUCUGAUCAUGUAGCCACUUUGCUUCUCCACAAUUUCUUUAAAAUCUUUAAAACAAUUGAAUACUUCUGACUUCCUCUUUACAAAGUAUAUCCACGUCUUUCUACUAAAAUCAUCAGUAAAAGUGAGGAAGUACCUAUUUUGUCCAGUCGACAUAGGCGUUAUUGGGCCACACACAUCUGUGUGUACUAACUCCAGUGGCCUCUUUGCUCUCUAGUUGACUUCUUUGGCAAAACUGGAUCUGUGAUGUUUGUUGAGGACACAACUCUCACAGACUUCAUCUGGAUGAUCAAUGUGAGGCAGACCUUUGACCAUGUUCUUGCUUGCUAGCAUCUUCAGACUUGUGAAAUUCAGAUGUCCAAGCCUCAGGUGCCAAAGCCAUUCUUCACUGUUGGUGAUGGCACUCAAACACCUUGCUGCAUCAUACUGGAUGUUCAAAGGAAACAUCCUAUUCUUGGACAUUUUCACGUAGGCCAUUAAUCUCCAAUUGUUGACUCUAAUUGUCAGAUGACAAUUCUUCGAGUAAAAAGUAUAUCCUCUCUCUAAAAGUUGACCUAAGCUGAUCAGGUUCUGCUUUAUGGCUGGGACAUAAUAGACAUUGGCGAUGUAGCUGGAAUCGUUGUUCUUCAACUUGAUUGGGACACUGCCUUUACCUUUGAAUGGAACCUUUGUGGUAUCUCCAAAAGUAACUAGACCUUGCUUGGUCUCAUCUAGAUCACCAAAUAACUCUCGGUAGCCGCACACGUGAUUGCUGGCUCUAGUAUCUAGAUACCAUAUAUUUUCCUGUUUCUCGCCAAGUUCUUGUUGGACAAGAAAUGCAGAUGCUUCUCUGUCAUCCUUCUUUAUAUAGUUGGCUUGCUCACGUAUCUCCAACGGAGCUUUCCUUCUGCAUUCAGUGCUAUAGUGCCCAAAUUGAUUGCAACUAUAACAUUGGAUAUUCCUCUUGUCACGGUUAUUGUAACCGCCUCCUCUUCCUCUAGAGUGAAUGCUUGUUGUCCUCGGCCUCCUCUGGUGGUGUUUCUGCCACCUCUUCCUCUAAAGCUUGUAUUCCAAGAACCUCUUCCUUGGAAUCUCUGGAAUCCUCCUCUGGAUUGUUGACUUCCUGCUUGAGUGGUGUAUCCACUUGAUGAAGUCUCCCCUUGCUCAUAUCUGUCCUUGAGAGACAGCUUUGCUUGUAAGGCAUGCUCGAUGGCCUUAUCUCCAUUUCGCUUUACAAUCUUCUGCUCAUGAGCUUGCAAAGAACUCAUAAGCUCAUCCACUAUCAACUUGUCCACUUCUUUGGACUCUUCAAUUGCGACAACAACAAAAUCAAAUUUUGGAUCUAGGGAUCUCAAAUUUUUCUCAUUAAUUCGAGAAUCCGACGAUGGCUUCUCCAUUUCUCCUCAUCUAGUUGACUAUCACCAUAAAUCUUGUGUGAUAAUCAGAAAUAGACUCCGAGGACUUCAUUUGCAAUAACUCAAAUUCACCUCGCAAAGAUUGAAGACGAAUCUUCUUGAUUCUGUUAGCACCUUUGUAUUUUUGUUGGAAAGCCUCCCAUAUGUCAUGUGACGUUUCAGUGGAAGCUAUUAUCUCGAAUGUAUCUUCAUCAAGACCUUGAUAGAUGAUGGUCUUUGCUUUGUUGUCUUUCUUUCUGUUGACUUUGAGGGCUUGCUUUUUGUGCCUCUUGUAAAGCAUCUUCUCUUUCUUUGGACUCUGGUUCAUCAUAACCAGUUUGUACAAUAUCCAAACACUCUUGUGAACCAAGGAAUGCCUUCAAUCUGAUGCACCAACUAUCAUAGUUGUCUUUGGUCAGCUUCGGGAUGAGUGUAUGUGUACCUUCUGUAGUCAUUUUGCUCUUUUAAUAACUAUAUCACCUUUCUAGGAGCUGAAUUUGGCCAAACGAACACUAUAGAUCGAUCCGGAAUGGUCCAAAUAGUAGGGAACCAGUCUGACUUUGUAGAAAUCGAGUCAGAAAAUGGGUGAACCGGUCAAAAAACCAAUUCUGUACGGCUGGCGGUUCGCUAGGUUGAACCGGGAAUAUUCUUGGGAAUAUUCUCUCGGCACGCUGGCGGCUGGAACGCAGCUCGGCUCGGCGCAUGUAUGGCUCGGCUAGUGGCUCGGCUGGACUCGGCUUAGGCGACUUAAACAAAUCAAAUAUGGCGCGCGUGGACGUCAGUCGUCGUCUACCUCUGGGCGCGUGGGCCGCGCGUGGUCGUCUGUGCAGAAUUUUCAGGAGGCGCGUGUGGUUCACCGCGGGAUCCGAUCAUGAUGAUUCUUGCGACAGUGAUUUCGUAUUGAUGAGCUCUACACUGCGGAAUGAUCAAAACUUGUUUUUGACAACUUUGAAAAUUCGGAUAUACCCCAAAACACUUCUGUUUUCUGACGAACGGGGCUCUGAUACCAAUUGUUGGUGGGAGAAACCACUGAUGGUGGCUUUGAAACACUCAGAGGGGAUAAAACACAAGGUUUUAUUACAAGAACACAAGCUUACAAUUAAUUAACAAAAACUUACAAUACACGCCCUCUCUCUCUAUUCUCUUUCUAGUAUUUCUCUCAAUUCUCUCCACACAAAUAAACACAAGCUGGGCACUCUAUUUAUACACGAAUUCAAAAUACGAAAAUUCAAACUUUCUAGGUGUGAAGGUGGCUGGUGGCUGGCGGCUGUGGCUGGUGGCUGGUCGGUUGGUGGCGGUUGUGGCUGCAAGUGGUGGUUGCCUUCCUUAACCUUCUAGAUAUUGAGUUUAAUAUUCAACAAAUAGGCCUUGCCACUUUGUUUUACAACCUUGGAUCCGAUAAUGAGUCAAUUCAGGUAUGACAUAAUAUACAACUCAACCGGCCUUGAUUUGAUUUUAUUAAGUACAACUUAAUUAACAUGGAGCCUAAAAAAUCGAUAUGGUUUCAGGAUAGAGGUUCUCUGCUAAUGUUCAUAGCUUCUUUCUUAACGUUCAUGACAAUUGGAGGAUUCCCUUCUUUUGUGGAAGAUAUGAAGGUAUAGACAUAAAUCAGUGCAAAUAUAUUUUUGUUCCAAAUUGCAUGUUUAUUCUAAAUGUUUUUCUCCUCUUGAAUCCAUGUAUUUGAAAGAGAAAGGUUAAAUGGGCACUAUGGUGCCACUGCUUUUGUUUUUGGCAACACAUUCUCUGCCUUUCCAUACCUGUUACUGAUAUCAGUAAUUCCUGGAGCAUUAACUUAUUACUUUCCUGGACUUCACAAGGGAUAUGAACACUUCAUAUACUUUGUUUUAGUAUUGUUUGUUUGCAUGAUGUUGGUGGAGAGCUUAAUGAUGAUCGUUGCGAGUAUGGUGCCAAAUUUUCUGAUGGGAAUAAUAACAGGAUCUGGGAUUCAAGCUUUCAUGAUUCUAAGUGGGGGAUUCUUUAGAUUGCCAAAUGAUCUCCCUCAGCCAUUCUGGAAGUAUCCCAUGUACUACAUUGUCUUCCAUAAGUAUGCCUACCAAGGAAUGUUCAAGAACGAAUUUGAAGGACUAACAUUUCCUAGCAAUCAAGCCGGAGGGCCACCGACGAUUCCCGGCGAACAAAUUCUGAGAGAUCGAUGGCAAGUGGAGAUGGGUGUCUCCAAGUGGGAUGACCUUGCCAUUUUGCUUGGAAUGGCGGUUCUAUACAGAAUUUUGUUCUUGGUUAUUAUCAAGACCACAGAGAAGAUAAAACCUAUUAUUGCAG
rnacentral:lncRNA from 1 species